CCAAAUAGAACAGGACUGUAAUACUUCUUUUAAUUCUAUAAACGACGAAUCUUCAUUUUUUGUGAAACCACAAGAGUUAAUUCCACAAGUUUUCACAACAGAAAUCAUGGUGGAUUCAUCUGAUAGAGCCAAUAAUUUUCAGUUUGUUGAUUUAAAUGAAGCUACUAUAAUGUCAGCUCCUGUUGUUAUAUCAAUGGCUGAAUAUGAACCUACAAAUUUUAAUAUACAAAGCAAACAAUAUGCUGCAUUGUCACCACUAAUAUGCAAUUACGGUGAUGAUGGGUUAAUUCCAGUCAGUGACCCCACCCAUCCCAUUGCUGAUCAUGAA